rnacentral:lncRNA from 1 species
AUGCUCCUGCUCCUCGACCUCUCUGCUGCUCAGUUUGCUGCUUUGAGCUUUCUGUGCACUCAUGAAGUGUGUUCAGUGCCUUCUGCUUUGCUUCCUCAAGGAAAAGAGCAACAGCUGUGGAGGAGAAAGGAGGUUCCCAUCAGGUCUCAUUAUUCCUGGGCCCACCCCCAGUGCUUCUCCUGCCUUCCCUUUGGUGCAUCUCUUUGCCUUUGUCUGGACAGAUCUAUACUGAGGGGGCCCAGCCAGGAGACUGCAGACGUGGGGAUGCUCUGGUGUCUUCUCAAGGAUUUUGUUCUGAUGGAGACAGACUUGCUGCUCUUGUCCAUAUGUGAUGAUCCAGAGCAAGACUUGAGGGAAUCUGGGGAAGACUGUAUUGCAGUAUCUUCCAUCUUCUCUUGACAUACCAGAAACUUGAUCAUCUGACUGUAAGUAAGAUAAAUAUGCUUUUAUAUGGCAUACAUAGCCUGUAAAUUUGUUUUAUUGCCAGGUUACCAUCAUAUAGGAUCUGGAAGCAAUUGAAGAAU